UCAUCACUCAAGCAAUGGCUUGGUAUUGGGCGAUUUGUCCAAAAACCCCCAAACAUUUCCGGGAUGGACAAGCCUGAAAGUUAGCGGCGGUGCAGCCAGUCCUCGAGCGCAUUAAUUCAUAUCGCUUCGAGUUUUGUCUGGAGUUUUGCUCCUGCCGGAUAAUCAAGUAAAAAAUUUCUAU
rnacentral:misc_RNA from 1 species